GUACCUAAAACUGGAAGAUGUGACU
rnacentral:piRNA from 2 species